UGCGUAGGGGGCAAGCGUUGUCCGGAAUUAUUGGGCGUAAAGAGCGCGUAGGCGGUCCGGUAAGUCAGCUGUGAAAGUCAAGGGCUCAACCCUUGAAAGCCGGUUGAUACUGUCGGGCUAGAGUCCGGAAGAGGCGAGUGGAAUUCCCGGUGUAGCGGUGAAAUGCGCAGAUAUCGGGAGGAACACCGGUGGCGAAGGCGGCAUCCUGGACCAAUUCUGACGCUGAGGAGCGAAAGCCAGGGGAGCAAACGGG
rnacentral:rRNA from 1 species